CCUACGGGUGGCAGCAGUGAGGAAUAUUGGUCAAUGGACGAGAGUCUGAACCAGCCAAGUCGCGUGAAGGAUGACUGCCCUAUGGGUUGUAAACUUCUUUUAUAUGGGAAUAAAACGUUCCACGUGUGGGAUUUUGUAUGUACCAUAUGAAUAAGGAUCGGCUAACUCCGUGCCAGCAGCCGCGGUAAUACGGAGGAUCCGAGCGUUAUCCGGAUUUAUUGGGUUUAAAGGGAGCGUAGGUGGAUUGUUAAGUCAGUUGUGAAAGUUUGCGGCUCAACCGUAAAAUUGCAGUUGAAACUGGCAGUCUUGAGUACAGGAGAGGUGAGCGGAAUUCGUGGUGUAGCGGUGAAAUGCUUAGAUAUAACGAAGAACUCCGAUUGCGAAGGCAGUUCACUGGACUGCAACUGACACUGAGGCGCGAAAGUGUGGGUAUCAAACAGGAUUAGAUACCCGGGUAGUC
rnacentral:rRNA from 1 species